GCUUAAAGCGCGUGUAGGCGGAACGGUAAGUACUUUGUGAAAUCCCCGGCUUCAAUCCGGGAACUGCUUGGUAUACUGUCGUUCUUGAGGCAGGUAGGGGUCACUGGAACUUAGGUGGAGCGGUGAAAUGCGUAGAUAUCUAAGGGAACGCCUGUGGCGAAAGCGGGUGACUGGGCCUGUCCUGACGCUGAGACGCGAAAGCGUAGGGAGCAAACGGGAUUAGAUACCCCGGUAGUCUACGCCGUAAACGAUGCGCACUAGGUUCGAGGAUCACUGACGGUCCUCGUGCCGAAAUAAAAACGUUAAGUGCGCCGCCUGGGGAGUACGGCCGCAAGGCUAAAACUCAAAGGAAUUGACGGGGGCUCACACAAGCGGUGGAGCAUGUGGAUCAAUUCGAAGCAACGCGAAGAACCUUACCUGGGUUUGACAUCCAUGGAUGUCGUCGGUGAAAGCCGAGCCGACUGCCUUCGGGUGAAACGUGGACAGGUGCUGCAUGGCUG
rnacentral:rRNA from 1 species